rnacentral:rRNA from 1 species
GAUGAACGCUCGCGGCAGGCCUAAUCCAUGCAAGUCGGACGGGAUUCAGGAGCUUGCUUCUGAUGAGAGUGGCGCACGGGUGCGUAACACGUAUGUAACCUACCUUUAUCAGGGGGAUAGCCUCUCGAAAGAGAGAUUAAGUCCGCAUAAAAUCACAGCACAGCAUUGUGUAAUGAUCAAAUAUUUAUAGGAUCAAGAUGGGCAUGCGGAACAUUAGCUAGAUGGCGGGGUAACGGCCCACCAUGGCGACGAUGUUUAGGGGAUCUGAGAGGAUGGCCCCCCACACUGGUACUGAGACACGGACCAGACUCCUACGGGAGGCAGGAGUAAGGAAUAUUGGUCAAUGGGCGGAAGCCUGAACCAGCCAGGCCGCGUGCAGGAAGACGGCCCUACGGGUUGUAAACUGCUUUUAUACGGGAAUAAACCCAGAUACGUGUAUCUGGCGGAAUGGACUGUAAGAAUAAGGAUCGGCUAACUCCGU